rnacentral:misc_RNA from 1 species
GUGAUAUUAUUAAUUUUUUUGUUUUUCUUUUUCUCUCGAGCUCCUUAAUUAGAAUAGACAUGCAUAGAUGUGACUUUGAUGAUAAAAUGGGAAAUAUUACUUAUCAACUACUCUUGUUUAAUGCACCUGCAGGGAGGUAUUUAUAUAUACACCUACUGUUAUAUAUUUUUUACACAUAAAUACUUAGACUGUUUCUCAAUGAGUGGAAAUUUGGAUCAAGUGAAAGAAACUGUAAGAUUGAGAAGCUUUCCUUAUUCUACAAAACCAUCUGACCCAAACCAUGUUCUCUUCUUUUUAUUACUAUACAUACAUAAUAGCAUCUCUGCACCAAUAUUUCUCUCUUUCCAAUAAGAAAAAGUCUUUGUUUCUUGAAAAAUGGUUUCUUAUUUCCUAUACUACAUUAUUUUUGGACGUAAACAGUUUGUUUUCAAUAAUGCCGACAACUAAUGAGCCUAGCUACAUCCAUUCUGUAUCUUUGCUAUUAAAUGUAACUUUGUCACAUUGCAGUGGCUUGUACUACAACAUCAACUGAGUUCAAAUAUUAACCACAAGUUUACCUGUAAUCAAGAUGGAUAUUUUCUUUUGAUUUAACAAUCAUAUGGCAGCCUCGGUAGCCUAUGAUUUCUUGUUUUAUUAUAGACCAAUAAUAAAAAUUUUUCCCCCAAGAUCAACAGAAGGAAUUAAAACAGUUGGAUCUUUUUUUGAUAUAUAAUCUCCAAUUCAGUUUUAGUGAAUAAAUAAUUUAUCUAACAUAUAUAUACUAUGUUCAUUGUUUGCGUGUAAUCCUAUGAAAGUCUAAAUGAAAAGAGUUGCUUUAAUUAUUCUUCACAUGUUUUCAGAGCAAGGGCUUGUGAUUUUAAAUGUUAAUUAUCAGUGUAAGUACAGUUAUUGAAGAUCAAACCUCUAAAAAUAAAAUCACGAUGUGGUUUUGUAUUAGUUAAUUCAUUGCCACGUCUAUCAUAUAUGACUUCUGAAGAGUGAACUUGGGAAAAAAAUGGAGAACUAUGGAAGACUGUUUUUAUGCCAAAUGUGAAGUAAGGUGUUAUACUUUAGAUGCUAGCUGUUGAUUAUGAAUUUUCUGCUAAAUGUUCAGUUUUUGUCCUUUUGAGUCUAUAAGGUAAGUUUUUAUGGACAAACACCAAAAGAAAAAAGCUCGCUUGAAAUUUUUUGUUACCCUCAGUGUGGAAAGUUAAGAUAUCUUUCAAGUUAUUUGGCUGGAUACUGUAACUGGAAAUGAAAUUUGUAAUACUCUUAUGUAAACUGUGUAAUCUAAGCUUGAAUUUCAGUGGAACAUGCUUUUCGUGGAAAAAUUCUGGAAACACCUACUUAUUAUUUUAAAUGUUCAUGCUGUGUAAAGUAUUUAAAUUAUAAUUGUGCUCAGUUUUGUUGUUUUGUCUGUAACUAGCACAGUAUAUUGCCUAUUUAGUAUUUCUGCUAAUUCUACUUUGGAUGAAAACCUUCAUGUAAGAAGAUGGUAAUUAAUAGUGAAGAGAGCCGGAAAAACUGAGUGUUAAAACAUUACAAUACUAGUUUUCACAUAUAUAAUGAUUUAUUCUUGCACGCAAAUAUGCAUCAGUUUAUAAAUUAAUAAUUUUAAUGGUACACCAUUCAUUUUGAGAAAAUGAAUGGCACAAUUAAUGCUAAAUGUUUAUUAGUUUUGUUUUUAUCCUUUACCCUAUAGCUACUGCUAUUGUUGGGGAAAGUGGCACUAAUUUCGUGUCUGAUUCGAUGCCUACUCUUUAUAUAUGUAACUUCCGUCUUCUCCCUGAAGCUUGCAUUAUAUUCCUAUUCCUUGUGUUGUGUAAGAGUCAAGACCAGUGGAAAUUUCUUCAGAGAAAAUAAGCCGGACUCUGAGAAUGACAUUUUUCAUUUUUGGUGAAAAUAUUGGGUAGGAAGUUGGAAUUUUACAUAAAACUGGAUUGAGCAUGCCUAUAACCUAAAGUUGCUAUUAAAACAAAUAGAUGACUUGAGAAGCUGUGUUCUUU